AGUGGUGAAAGCCCAUCGCUCAACGGUGGAACGGCCAUUGAUACUGUCUGACUUGAAUUAUUAGGAAGUAACUAGAAUAUGUAGUGUAGCGGUGAAAUGCUUAGAGAUUACAUGGAAUACCAAUUGCGAAGCAGGUUACUACUAAUUGAUUGACGCUGAUGGACGGAAGCGUGGGUAGCGAACAGGAUUAGAUACCCUGGUAG
rnacentral:rRNA from 1 species